rnacentral:rRNA from 1 species
UACGGAGGGCGCAAGCGUUAUUCGGAAUUAUUGGGCGUAAAGGGCGCGCAGGCGGUCUUGUCCGUCAGGUGUGAAAGCUCGGGGCUCAACCCCGGAAGUGCACUUGAAACAGCAAGACUUGAAUACGGGAGAGGAAAGCGGAAUUCCUGGUGUAGAGGUGAAAUUCGUAGAUAUCAGGAGGAACACCGAUGGCGAAGGCAGCUUUCUGGACCGAUAUUGACGCUGAGGCGCAAAGGCGUGGGUAGCAAACGGG